rnacentral:rRNA from 1 species
AGCAGUCGCCGCGGUAAUACAGAGGGUGCGAGCGUUAAUCGGAUUUACUGGGCGUAAAGCGUGCGUAGGCGGCUAAUUGAGUCGGAUGUGAAAUCCCCGAGCUUAACUUGGGAAUUGCAUUCGAUACUGGGAAGCUAGAGUAUGGGAGAGGAUGGUAGAAUUCCAGGUGUAGCGGUGAAAUGCGUAGAGAUCUGGAGGAAUACCGAUGGCGAAGGCAGCCAUCUGGCCUAAUACUGACGCUGAGGUACGAAAGCAUGGGGAGCAAACAGGAUUAGAUACCCCGGUAGUCCCUGUCUCUUAUAC